UUUAUGUUUAGAAAUAAAAAUUAAAAAAAAAAUACAGAACUUGUAAUUCCCUCCCAAGUGGCGAUUCCAAUCCCUAAACGACUCCAAAUCCCCAACCUUUGCCGCGUUGCGUGACGACUGGUCGCAACUCCGCCGUGCGGNGUGUCCUCUUCUCUGGGUUAGGUUCGCAGUGCUCCGCUCUCUGUUUGUUUCCUUUUUACAUUCCAUAUGUUGCUUCUCUAUAUUGAUUUGUUCUUGCCACGNACCUGUUUGCUGCUACCCAAAAGAAACUAGUUGAUUUCGCAUUUAUUGAAAGAACAGUUUGAAGUUGAAAAGUUGUAAGAGAAAUUGCUGCUUUAGAACCUAGAGAUCUUGCUUGAGCUUUAGAUUGUGUCUGGUAGGAAGUCUCAUUGCGACAUUUUACUUUAUUUUAUUGUCUACAGUCGAAGUUAUAUUACUUCUUCAUCACGAGCUUCCGCUUCCCGUGUUGCUGUGAAGUUUAACAUAUGUGUGUGGGGGUGGUGGAAUGUUAAGAAAUAGGAUUAUUCUCAUUUAGCUACUUAAUUUAAGGAUGUCUACUCAAGAAUCAUUUUCUCCUAUAGAUGAUGGCCAACAAGAACAAUUUUUAGAACCUUAUAUAGGAGAUUCAAAUCAAACCGAAAGUUCAACUUCUACUGUUAAUUCAAGAAGAUUAUUAUCAGAUGUUUGGAAUCACUUUAAGAGACAAAAGAUAGAUGGAAAAUGGAAAGCGACAUGCAAUUAUAGUUCCGAAAGUCUUGUAGGUGAUGCAAGGCAAGGUACGUCACAUCUGAGAAACCAUUUCAAAAGUUGCAAGUUUCGAACAACACGGGAUAUUAGACAAUCUUUUUUAAAAACUCAAAAAGAAGGUGGUGAAACCGUAAUUGUUAACAAUUAUGUGUUUAAUCAACAAAUAGCUACAGAUGCACUCCGUAAGAUGAUAAUUUUACAUGAAUAUCCAAUGUCAAUGGUUGAUCACAUAAACUUUAAAGAAUUCUGUGGUGCUGUACAACCUCUAUUUAAAGUGGUUUCUCGAAACACCUUAAAAAAGGAUAUUAUGAAAGAUUACAAUGCCGAAAAAGAGAAAUUGAAAUUAUUGUUGUCAAGGAUUCAAAGUCGAGUUGCAAUUACAACUGAUAUGUGGACUGCUAGUAAUCAAAAUAGAGGCUACAUGACUAUAACAACUCACUUUAUUGAUGAUUUAUGGAGGCUACAAAGUCGACUUGUGAGGUAAUAACACUAUACUCUAUUUUAAGUGUAAUUUUUAUAUUAACAUUGUUCUUCUUCAUUAAAUUAAUAUAAUAUGACUUUCAAUUUUAGGUUUAUGUAUGUGCCUGCUCCUCAUACUAGUCAAGUUCUUGCUGAAUUGUUGGUUGAAUGUCUAAUGGAUUGGAAUCUAGAUAGAAAAGUUUCUACUUUGACAGUAGAUAAUUGCACUACAAAUGAUGCUAUGAUUGAUCAUAUUUUAGACAAGAUUUCACCUAGGUCUCUUAUUUUGGGUGGCCAAUUGUUUCACAUGCGAUGUUGUGCACAUAUAUUGAAUUUGACUGUGAAUGAUGGUUUGUCCAUAAUUGCUAAUGUCAUUGAAAAGGUUAGAGAAAGUGUUAUUUUUUGGACAGCUACACCUGAAAGAGAAGAGAAAUUUAUAGAGACAUGUGCUCAAUUGAGUAUUCCAUUUAGAAGAAAAUUAGUUGUUGAUUGCAGAACUAGAUGGAAUUCUACAUUUUUAAUGCUUCAAGUAGUCAUACAAUACAAAGAUGUAUUUGACCGUUUAUCACAACGAGAGAGUCAAUAUAAAUUUUUGCCUAGUGCACAUGAUUGGCAAAUAGCACAUGAAGUUUGUCAAAAGUUGGAAAUAUUUUAUGAUGUGACACUCUUGUUUUCUGGUACCUCUUAUCCAACUGCCAACAUUUUCUUUCCAAAGGUAUGUGAAAUUAAGUUGGCUUUGAUGGAAUGGCUUAACUCUCCCAAUUCUAUUAUUCACCAAAUGGCUGCAUCAAUGGUUUUAAAGUUUAACAAGUAUUGGAGUGCGAUUAGUGGAGUGAUGGCUAUAGGUAUUGUCUUAGAUCCCAGGUACAAGAUUGAUUUGUUGGAUUAUUUUUUCCCUCAGAUAUAUGGUAAUGAAUCUGAUUGUGAAAUUGAAAAGGUGAAGAUUCUUUUUAAGGAUUUGGUAAGAGAAUAUGAAAUGUACAUGAAAGGUAAGAAGUCACUUUCUUCAUGUCAAAAUCCAAACAUAAAUGUAGGCCAAAUACUUGAUGGAAAAAAAGAUGCUUGGAGGAGAGAUUUUGCAAAACACCAGAUUGCAAAGAAAAAUGAACCAUCAAAUUAUAAGUUAGAACUUGAUUAUUACUUGGAGGAACCGACACUACCAGAUUUAGAUGAAGAAUUUGACAUUUUAAUUUGGUGGAAGACUAAUGGAUUAAAAUAUCCAAUCUUACAAAUGAUUGCAAGAGAUUUUCUAGCCAUUCCUAUCUCAACAGUUGCUUCUGAGUCUUCUUUUAGUACUGAUGGUCGAUUUCUUACUCCACAUCGGAGUAAAUUACAUCCAGACACUUUAGAAGCACUGAUGUGUGUUCAAGAUUGGUUAUGGAGUGACAUACAAGGUAAUUAAAUAAACAAUUCAAAUUACAUACUUAUAUUCAUUUAAAUGAUUGGUUAUAACAAAUGAAUUUGUUUUCCUUUUUCAAGUUAUUCAAAAUUGAAAGUGGAUAACAUGAAGCUUAAUACGAUAGUAGAGGAGAUAAUUGAUGAUGAUGUUAGUAGUUUUGAUUAUGAUAUUUUAAUCUAAUUUUAUUAAUAAUGUCAUUUUGUCAUUGGUUGAUGACUUUAUUUUUAUUUAUUUGUUUCAGGAAUUAAGUGGUCAAAAUGAAGAUAUGGGAGAAGAAACAUAAAACUUGGAAUGUUAAUUUUAUAACAAUUAUUUUUAAAAUUACUUGUAUUUGGAUGUAUGUUUUUUACUAUUAAUUUGUAUUAAUUUGAAUUUAUGUUUUAAUUUUUAUUUACUUAUCCCAUUGACUUUAUUU
rnacentral:lncRNA from 1 species